rnacentral:misc_RNA from 1 species
UCAAACUUGGUCAUUUAGAGGAAGUAAAAGUCGUAACAAGGUCUCCGUAGGUGAACCUGCGGAGGGAUCAUUACAGAGUUCAUGCCCUGAAUCAGGGCAGAUCUCCCACCCUUGUGUAUCUUCUUACUGUGUUGCUUUGGCAGGCCGUCUGGGCCGUCGCCCUGUGCGAAGCCUGGCCACCGGCUCCUCCGAGGAGCUGGCGCGUGCCUGCCAAAGGCCCCCAAACUCUUUGUUUGUCAGUGUCGUCUGAGUACCAUUGCAAAUCGUUAAAACUUUCAACAACGGAUCUCUUGGUUCUGGCAUCGAUGAAGAACGCAGC